GGGUAACUUCAUGGGCAAGGGUAAAAUAAUCAUCCUUACUCUUCACAAGAGAAUCACCGAAGAGCAAUGAUGCAAACAAUCAAUAAUUUCUCGCACUUUGACGAUCCUGACUAUACUGUCCUGGCAAGUCACCACCUAAACAACUCAGGCUCCUCGAUCUUGAUCUGAUGAAACGUACACCUAAAUUCAUCCUAGCGACUUAAUCCACUACUUGAAACUGACCUUCGAUCUUCAGUGGUUGGAAAUUAAACGGGCUGCAGGAUUUGGUGAAAUUCUUCAGCAAUAACUUAUUUAACAUUCAAGUCAUACUCCACCAUCUCCUCUGAGCUCUUAAACUCCAUGGUCUUUUAUCUACUCCAAAAUUUUUGGCUAAGUCCACGAAUAAAUUCUUUAUGAUCCUC
rnacentral:lncRNA from 1 species